UGUUUGAGACAGGGCUCUCUCCAUGUAGCUCAGACUGUCCUGGAACUUGCUAUGGAGACCAGGCCGGCCUCACAGAGAUCCUCCUGCCUCUGCUUCCAAGUGCUGGGAAGAAAGGUGUGCAGCGCCACUCCCAGCCUCGUUCUCAUAUUUCUUUCUUAGAAGGAAAUGUUUGUGAUAGUAAAGAGCAGGCCUUUGUCUUUGGUAAAAUAAAAUUUGGAAAAUCUAUUUAGUCUCCUCUAGUCUCUUCGUUACCCAAAGCAAUGUGAGACAUGGGUAUAGAAGUCUCUGGUCUGGUUCACCCAGCAUUGUGCUGUGUUCAGUGGGUGCUCACCAGCAAGCCCUCUGCUUUUAAUUUCAAUAGAGACAGGAUACAACCAUUUCCCAUAAUAAGCGCCGCCGGCGAUUAGUUUGGCUCCUUCUCUCACACUUUCACACCUGCGUCUUUGUCACACACACACACACACACACACACACACACACAUCCCACCUUCCUGCGUCUGUGUGGUUCCAUCUGCAUCCAUGCUGCCCACCCAAGAUGUGACAGGACGUUUAUGUGAAGGGCCAGGAGGGGCCUGACGUGGAAUCGUUUGGCUCUGUGGACAAUGUUAUCACCGGCUCAGCUACCCAGCUCUUUCAGGGGAAGCCAGCACAGAUAACUCAAGAACAAACGAGUGUAAUGGCGGUCCACGAAACUUCAUUCACCCAGACAGGUAGAUAAGUGAGAUCAGAACAUGAUGAGAAAUCCACAAAGAAUCGAUAAAGGUUAAACAAACAAACAAAUAAACCAAGCAACCCUUCACCCCAGAGCAGGCAGCUGGUACUACUGGAGCUGCAGCAGGUAGCCUCCACACCAAGUCUUUGAGCACCUUUAAGUCAGGGCGCACAACUCCUCUGCCUACAACACCCCAGCAGCAUCUCGCUUUGUUCAAAGUAAAGGCCAAGAGGGGUCCACCUGCCUGUAAGUCCCAGACAAGCUCCGGGUGCCCAGCGCUCUCAACACCUGGCUCUGACCUCAGUGCCAACUGGGCUCUGAGUCCCAGGGCUGCCUUUACUUUUUCCUUAGCCUGCCAGUCCCUCCCCCUCGGAGACCUUCAGACCUCUUCUCGACACCACCUCAGCCAGAGAAGCCUUUGGCGCACCAGGGAGCUCCUCUGCUUCCCUCUGGGUUGCCACACAGCACACCUCCUCUCUUUCCCGUUAAAACUCUCACUACAGAACUUACCCCAUCUGACACAUCAAGCAUUUACGCAGUGCCCCAUCUAUGACUGGUCUUAGUCUGCUAUAAUUCAGGCCUAUUAGGGAAAAACCUGCAUUAUUCUUUGUUUCAUUUCUAAAGCCUAUUAAAGUGCCAGCAUGCCUGCCGGAAAGUUUUUGUUGUUGUUGUUGUUGUUUUUCUUUUUUUGUUAAUAGGGAUCUCCCCCCCUUUCUGGUUUAUUAUUUAUGUGUGUGUGUGUGUUCCAUAGAGUCCAGAAGAGGGUAUCAGAUCCUCUAGAACUGGAGUUACAGGUGAUUGUGAGCUGCUAGGUGCUUGGAACCAAACUUGGGGCCUCUAGAAGAACAGCAAGUGCUCUCUAGACUACUGAGCCAUCUCUACAGCCCCAACAAAAGUUCUUCUAUCUAGUAGGCGGUGGGUAAAUAUUUGUAGAAUGAAGGAAUGUAAGAAGCAAAGGAAAGAACUGCUAACUCAGGGGGAAAGAGGGAUCAGUGAGAGCCAGCAUUGUUUGCACCGACUCAAGGAAAGCCUUGAGUGCUAGAAGUACCCAAGAAAGGGGCGUGGUCUAACAGGUUAACUUCAUCAAGACCAUCAACAGCCUCAAACUUUCACACCAUGCACGUGAUCUGCGUAAAAGCAGGGGCUUGUUAGGCAAAACCUUAACCCCAGGGAAUCACGUUGUUCUUCUUGAGCUUCCUUGGUAUAAAAUUUUGAAGCUGUCAUGGUCAGCACUCAUUGCACCUUUAAAGCAGGAGUACAAGAAGACUGUAUUAGUAAUGAAAGAAAUGAUUUUGGCAUCUCCUAGCCAAGUUGGGAGUAGACGGGUUCAGACAAUGGCCAUCUUUGGGUGGAAGACCCAUCGGGAGCCUUGUGCAAUGAUUUAAAUCAAGUUAUAAAGAAGAAUCGAGCGGGGCUGGGGUGUGAGAGGGAGAGGAAGAGAUUUGCUGUUGACGUCCGAAGGAGGAACUGAUGUAGCCAUGUGACUUAACUCAAAGUCACCAACAAAGCAACAAGAGGCUAGAGACAUCAUCAAUGUUCAUGAAUAUGUGAGCGGUUAAUUAAACCAGGCAAUAGCAUAUUACACAAGAAAGAAUGAGGCCUUAGAUCUGCGUUCAGAGACACAGGCGAGGAGCCAAGGGAGACAGCUACAGUCAGAUUCCAGUUCUGUGAAAAGACACACGCAUUUGAAAGGGACCUGACCACUUCCUCUGGCCUCUACAGGGACCUGACUGGCUCCACUGGCCUCUACAGGGACCUGACUGGCUCCCCUGGCCUCUACAGAGACCUGACAUCCCUCUUUGGCCUCCACAGGGACCUGACCACUUCCUCUGGCCUCUAUGGGGACCUAACAGCCUCCUCUGGCCUCCACAGGCACCAGUCAUAAAUAUGCCUAGCCUCUGUGAUGUGGUUUGAAAGUUCUCUCUAGACCGCUUGUCUCCAGACGACAGUUCCAGCACUCCACCCCCACACCACCUGUGUCAGUCAGGCCGCUGUUUCAACAGAAGCUUUGUAGAAACUGUGGAAUGCUGCGUACACGUCAGCUCUGCUUCUUCAUGCGGGGGCUGAGAUGUUUUCUCUUUUGCUCAUUCUUCAGGGACCUCAGCUGGGACCUGUUGGAAUCUGAAGGUGCCACUUUUCCCUCUCUAGGUGCUCCUCUGGGGAAAUGGCAUCACCUGUUGCCCAGUCAAAAACCCUGGAGCCAUUCCUGCCCCCCCAAACCCGCCGCGUAUUCUGUCCGCAAGUAUUCACUGGUGUCCCUUGCCUUCCCUGUCAUGGGCACUGACUCUGAUUCAGCCUUGCCUCGGUCACGUUGACAGCCUCCCACCCGCCUUGUGCCCAGGGUUCCACCCCCACCUACUAUACCGUGCUCCCUAUAUCACUUUCCACCAUUCAGACCCUUGCCUCUUCACUGUCCCAAGUCCAGGAUUUUCUACCUGGCAGAGGCCUUCCAGGACUGGAACUAUACCGCACUGCGUUUCCACCACCAGCUUGCUUGACUCCCCUGCAAUGUCCAACAUUGUCAAGCCUUUAAGAUCCUCUUAGGUGUUAGGAUAGCUCCUCUCUCUCUGCUUGGGAAUCGACUCACACCUAUUUGUGUUAAAAAUAACAAUAGUGCAUUUAAGUAUGAUUUUCUGAGAACAUGCCCUGCCCCUUUCCAGGUCUGAUUUCAGUGUUCCUCCCUGGCAUUUCCACAGAACUCUGCGGACGUCAGAGAUCCCGGCUUCUGCUGUUAGUGCUGGCUUGUUUGUCUCCCUCGAUUACAAUAUAAGGUGUUUAAGGACUUUGCUUCUGGACCCCUAGUUCCCAGCCUCCACCAGCGUGUUACAAGAAUUCAUGCUGAAAAGCAAUGAACUCAUCUCUGCUUUCAUGUUUUGUUGACUCAAGAGCAGGAAAAGGACGGUGUGGGGUUUUAGGCUCCAAGGCUCUUGUAGCUGCCUCCCCUCAUCCUACUUCCAAGAUCGUGACCAUUGGUUUGGCGACACGUUGCCUCAGACUGCUCUCUGGCCAAUGGAACGAACGCUUGUGUAGUGUGGACUCUGGAUCCGUUCUGUGUACUGGCCUUGCCUCAUCUGUACACAGUCUGCCCUGCAGUAAUCCUCUGGCCAGGAGUAAAGGGCUUUUUUCGACUUUGGAGAGAUGAAUGUGAUGUAUGUUUACUGAUCAGACCUCAGUGAGGCUAUCGGGAAUCAGGCGGAGGGUUAAUUGGAAACUAGGACCACGGCUCUAACCGAUCUGGUCCUUUGAGAGAGGGGCUGUUGCAUGCCGGGCUUUGAGUCGUCCUAUUGACUAGAGCAGGUAAAUGGGUCUCAUUGAUUCUAAGAUACCGUUUUUUUUUUUCUUUUUGACAUUUUAAUGUCUCUGAAACAGGAAUACAGUAUCCUAUUUAUUUUUAUUUUUUUGUAUACUCUGUUCUGCCUGCAGGCCAGAAGAGGGCAUAGAUCUCAUUUCAAAUGGUUGUGAGCCACCUUGUGGUUGCUGGGAAUUGAACUCAGGACCUCUGGAAGAGUAGUCAGUGUUCUUAACCUCUGAGCCAUCUCUCCAGCACUGAAAUAUAAUAUGUUAAUAAGAAAGUGUAAAGUAGAAACCAAAAUUGUCUAAUAGUCUCUAUGGUUGAGGGAUGAAUUAAAAAGCUACAUGGGUCAUUUAUAUAGACUAAUAGCAAUUUCCUGAAGGGUCCUGACCCAUAGGGUUGGACAUCCCCUACAAGCUAUGUUGAACUUGGUUCACAGGCUUAGAUUCAGAGUAUUUGGAUUCCAAGGAAACUGAGGGUUCAAGAACAGCAUCCUGCAGGACGAGACAUCUCUAAAGGAGAGCUGGAGGGGACAUGUCACUUCCACUCAACCUAACACAAUAGUAUAGCAGAUUAAUAAAAACUCAGAGACAGGUAUUGGAGUUCAACCCGAAGACCAGAAAAACAAAGCAGCCAGCCAUCAUCUCUUACCUCUACUUCAGUCCGAAAAUGGUGAUCCUGCCUCCAGGAAUCCUCAGUAUGAGACUGAGCCUGAAGACUGUCCCAUCCUGUCUUAUAUUCCUCUCUAGCGCUGGAAUUAAAGGUGUGCACCACUACUUCCCGGUUUCUAUGGCAAACUAGUGUGGUUGCUGGGAUUAAAGGUGUGUGCCACCUCUGCCUGGUCUGUAUGGCUGAUCAGUGUGGCUUUUUUUAUUCUCUGAUUGUCAAGAAAGAUUUAUUUUUUAGAAUACAAACAAAUUAUCAGUACACAAUAGGGCCUGGUUCAGGUCAUAUUGCUAUUUAGUCCUCGAAAACCAAAGAACCAAUGUCAGCGAGAGGUGGUGACACACAUCUUUAGUCCCAGCACCCAGAAAGCUGAUGAAGGAGAACCGCAUAUUUGAGGCAAGUCUGGACUUCGUAUUAAAAUCCCCUCUCCCCAUCAAAAGAAAGGCGAGUGUCUGAUUUAAUUGAGAAGAUCUGCAGAAUGGAUCUCAGGAAGUUCAUCAAAGGCUUAGCACUAAAGUCCUCUUGGCUGUACAGAUGAAAUGAUGUCCUCUCUAGAGAACUGGAUAGCAGAAACCCCAAGGCUUUGUGUCAGUAGCUGGGCUUUUUGCCUGAGAUCAGGACAAACCUGGUCAAACUUCCUACCCUCUGAGCAUCAGUGUUUUUUUUUUUCCUCCUAUACCUCACAGUGUUUUCAGGGAGAGGUGAAAUAGGAUGACAGCUGCCUGCUUAAUGAGUGGAAGAUGCUGUUGUUGAUGGAGCCAAACUCGCCUGAGGGAGAGCGCUUUUAGGAUCUCCUGGGGAUGCUAUGCUGUGCCACAGGACAUUCUUUGGGGUGAAGAGAUGCUGUAAAUUUAUAUAAUAAAAGUAACUUUAUCAUUAUCCCUGACUCACACUCAGAGAACCAUCGUCUGCACUGCUUUGCCAGGGCCUCUUCGUUUGGCUGUGAUGUUUCUCGUGAGUAAUUAGGAGAGUUGGAAACUAAGAAAUCAAACUACCUGACCGGGAAGGGAGGGAGGAAGGGGACAGGGAACAGGAAAAGACCAUCAGCUUGGAAAUAGGGAACUGGGUGGGAGGGGUUCGAGUCAGAGAAAGAGAAGAGAAGUCUGGGGCUGGAGGGAUUGCCACAGGGAUUUUUAUAGACGUUUACCUUUGCGAUGUGUGUGGCUAUCCUUCCUUCCAUACACGCAAGAAAUCCUCAGAUUAGGUCUCCCACUGGCCUGAAACUCACCAACUGAGGCUAGGCUGGCUGUCCAGCAAGUCUGAGGGGUCUACAUGAUCUGCCUCCCCAGGACAGAUAGUACAAUCUCAUCGCCUCAUCGGCCUUCUUCACAUGGGUUUUGAGUCGACACCCAGGCCCUCAAGCCUGCUCUGCUAGCACUUUAUCCAUCCAGCUGUCAUAUCUAUAGUUAUAGCUAUAUAUUUACCUAUAUAGCUAUCUAUGUAGCCUAACUCAUGUUCUGAAGCUGGCAAUGCUGCCAAGACAGAAGAUGGAGUGGCCGAGGCUCUUUGGUAGACUCUGGCUCUGGGAAUCAGAAGAUUAGUAACAGUUGACAGUUAAAACUGAAGACAUCUGUGUCUGUGUUUUA